rnacentral:rRNA from 1 species
GACAGAGGGUGCAAACGUUGUUCGGAUUUACUGGGCGUAAAGCGUGCGUAGGCGGCUGCGCAAGUCGGGUGUGAAACCCCGGGGCUCAACCCCGGAACUGCAUCCGAUACUGCGUGGCUAGAGGUAGGUAGGGGAGAUCGGAAUUCCUGGUGUAGCGGUGAAAUGCGCAGAUAUCAGGAGGAACACCGGUGGCGAAGGCGGAUCUCUGGGCCUUACCUGACGCUCAGGCACGAAAGCUAGGGGAGCGAACAGG